GAUGAACGCUGGCGGCGUGCCUAAUACAUGCAAGUCGAGCGAAUGGAUUAAGAGCUUGCUCUUAUGAAGUUAGCGGCGGACGGGUGAGUAACACGUGGGUAACCUGCCCAUAAGACUGGGAUAACUCCGGGAAACCGGGGCUAAUACUGGAUAACAUUUUGAACCGCAUGGUUCGAAAUUGAAAGGCGGCUUCGGCUGUCACUUAUGGAUGGACCCGCGUCGCAUUAGCUAGUUGGUGAGGUAACGGCUCACCAAGGCAACGAUGAGUAGCCGACCUGAGAGGGUGAUCGGCCACACUGGGACUGAGACACGGCCCAGACUCCUACGGGAGGCAGCAGUAGGGAAUCUUCCGCAAUGGACGAAAGUCUGACGGAGCAACGCCGCGUGAGUGAUGAAGGCUUUCGGGUCGUAAAACUCUGUUGUUAGGAAAGAACAAGUGCUAGUUGAAUAAGCUGGCACCUUGACGGUACCUAACCAGAAAGCCACGGCUAACUACGUGCCAGCCGCCGCUGUAA
rnacentral:rRNA from 1 species